GGACUCCCAAUACUUACUACAGGCUGUGUUCUUUGCACUGACUAUAUAGAAGAGGAGGUACAGUAAAUGCUCCCCAUAUACACUUCAAACCAGGCCCUUUGCCUGGUCUGUAUUGUGAAAGGGGUAUACAAAA